ACGGCUCAGUAACACGUGGAUAAUCUACCCUUAGGACCGGGAUAACCCUGGGAAACUGGGGAUAAUACUGGAUAGGCAAUUAUUCCUGUAAUGGUUUUUUGUUUAAAUGUUUUUUCGCCUAAGGAUGAGUCUGCGGCCGAUUAGGUAGUUGGUUAGGUAAUGGCUUACCAAGCCGUUGAUCGGUACGGGUUGUGAGAGCAAGAGCCCGGAGAUGGAACCUGAGACAAGGUUCCAGGCCCUACGGGGUGCAGCAGGCGCGAAACCUCCGCAAUGUGAGAAAUCGCGACGGGGGGAUCCCAAGUGCCAUUCUUAACGGGAUGGCUUUUCAUUAGUGUAAAGAGCUUUUGGAAUAAGAGCUGGGCAAGACCGGUGCCAGCCGCCGCGGUAACACCGGCAGCUCUAGUGGUAACAAUUUUUAUUGGGCCUAAAGCGUCCGUAGCCGGUUUAAUAAGUCUCUGGUGAAAUCCUGCAGCUUAACUGUGGGAAUUGCUGGAGAUACUAUUAGACUUGAGACCGGGAGAGGUUAGAGGUACUCCCAGGGUAGAGGUGAAAUUCUGUAAUCCUGGGAGGACCGCCUGUUGCGAAGGCGUCUAACUGGAACGGUUCUGACGGUGAGGGACGAAAGUUAGGGGCGCGAACCGGAUUAGAUACCCGGGUAGUCCUAACUGUAAACGAUGCGGACUUGGUGUUGGGGUGGCUUUGAGCUGCUUCAGUGCCGAAGGGAAGCUGUUAAGUCCGCCGCCUGGGAAGUACGGUCGCAAGACUGAAACUUAAAGGAAUUGGCGGGGGAG
rnacentral:rRNA from 1 species